rnacentral:rRNA from 1 species
GGACGAACGCUGGCGGCGUGCUUAACACAUGCAAGUCGAACGGAAAGGCCCUGCUUUUGUGGGGUGCUCGAGUGGCGAACGGGUGAGUAACGCGUGAGUAACCUGCCCUUGACUUUGGGAUAACUUCAGGAAACUGGGGCUAAUACCGGAUAGGAGCUCCUGCUGCAUGGUGGGGGUUGGAAAGUUUCGGCGGUUGGGGAUGGACUCGCGGCUUAUCAGCUUGUUGGUGGGGUAGUGGCUUACCAAGGCUUUGACGGGUAGCCGGCCUGAGAGGGUGACCGGCCACAUUGGGACUGAGAUACGGCCCAGACUCCUACGGGAGGCAGCAGUGGGGAAUAUUGCACAAUGGGCGGAAGCCUGAUGCAGCAACGCCGCGUGCGGGAUGACGGCCUUCGGGUUGUAAACCGCUUUCGCCUGUGACGAAGCGUGAGUGACGGUAAUGGGUAAAGAAGCACCGGCUAACUACGUG